CUCGGCCCGGGGCAGCGGAGACACGGGGCUCUUUCUGUGACUUCUCAGCGACAGUCGUGUCUUCAGCAUGCUCCUGUCCACAGGAGAAGCCCCACUCAGGGCAUUGUUCUUCCUUCCCCUUAGUUUAAGUUAGAAAAGGGCAUUUUUCUAAAGCCAUAAGGAUCAAACCCGGCUGUUCGUGCUUCCCGGGAUUGCUCCGGGCGCUCCACAGAAGCCCUGCCGAACCUGUGUGUGCCAGGCCAGACCAAAACCUCAGCUCUGGCUAUACCAGCGCUUGAGCAUUUGAAACUGGGGCCCCUGUUGGCACUGGGCUGUGCAGUUUUGCCCCUUUCAGUUGCAAGGCUGAGCAGGAUUGGCAAGAGUUAGAUGGAAAAAGCCUGCAUAUUAUUUCAUAAAAAUUCAGCUAUAUUGUCUGGAAACCAUCGUCUUCAAAGUCAGCCUCACAUGUGCCUCCUUACAGUCCACAGCCAUUUGAACAUGUGUCAAGCAUAACCUAAGAUUGAAACAGAUGCUGGUUGCACUUGUCAGGAUGAUAAAAAUCCAAGACACUUGAAUUUGUUGUAAGUUCUCUGUAAGAAGUGUUGUGAAAACUGGCACAGAAGCAUUGCUGGUGUUUGAUGGGUAGUAGCCAGAAAACUGGCACCCAAGGGAGCAUUGCUGGUAUUUGAUGGGUAGUAGUCACCACUUGAUUGGUAUUGUACCUGGAAUGGAUGAUACAAAUGUUCCUGUAAUCUUUUCAGAACUUUUUAGUACUUUAGCGCUUACUCUUAAAUAUAUUUAUGAAUUUACUGCCCAGAUAAAAGCACAGUACUGCCGAUAGAUGAAUUUUACCUGUACAUUCCUACAUUUUCGUUUUGUUGGGGUGGUGGGAAGGAUUAUUCUUGACAUGGACAUAUUUGAGUAUGUCAGGAUAGCCAUGUGUGGUUAUGGUAUUCUCCAUACAGGAACCAACUUCAGCUAUAAUGCUACAGCAACUCCAUCAGCAGAAGAUAUUAAGUUCAUGAGCAGAAGUUUAAACUAAACUACUUUUAUCCUCUCAAAGGCCAAGAGCCAGAUGUGACAAUGUGUCUCUUCUGAUUGGAAGCAGCUCCAGUGUCAGGUCAGGGGAGGUAGGUGGGGCUGAUUGCUUUUAUCUUAGGUACAGCAGAAAGAAAAGCACCAAAUACAUAGCAAGCUCCCUGUGGUUAAUUAACACUGUUAACUGAAUUUCAAUGGGCUUUGGAUGGGGCUAUAUCUUCUUAUUGCUGGUACUAGCCGUAAAUGCCCAACAGCUGACUCUCUAGAGAAAAAUAUAGAGAAAUAAAGCUAUAGCUCAUAAGCCUAUUGAAACAAGUUAAUGCGUAUGGACAAUAGUGUUCAUAGCAGAAUUUUCUAGAGAUGGAAAUAUUUUAUGCAAUUAACCAGACCAGAAAACAAAUUAGAAAGCCAUUAAAAUUCUUCAGCUGAAAAUGAUGCUGUUGUUAAGAAGUGUGCUCUUCUUUGACACAAUUGUUUUGUGUGUAUUUUUGUUCAGUUAGAUAUGCCAACUUAUAUGAAAAGACAUUUUUCAUCCCUAAGCAGUGAAAAAACUGAUAAGUUAAUGAGAAGAAAACAGAUUCUCCUCAAGCUCAUUCAGGUAAAUGGAAUGGGGGAAAGGUGUAUCUGUUUCAAUGAUGAUAGCAUGCUGGGACAGCUGCUAAGGUGACCAUCGUCUUAACCAUAUAUGAACAUGAAAGUUUCAACUAUCAAAUCUCAUUGCAGGCUGUAGAGCUGGCUGUGGAUGUUAGGAGAGAACUGUAUGCUUGUACUUAGCAUGUUUGAUCCUGAAAUCACACAUGCACAAAAAAUACAGGAUCCCACACUGCCAUUUUCAGUGUCACUUUCCAAAGAAGAGCUGUGCUUUAACAAGGUUUAAACUGCAGUUUGAAUGUUUUCACUAGUGUUUUACAAUGUUGCCACUUUGCCUUUGGGAAUUAGUUAAGAUGUGCUUUUGCAGAGCGUAGAAUCAUAGGCCAAGGCAGUAAACCCUGUAAUAAACACUUGUCCAUGCUACAAGAGAGUUGUUCUCAGCAGUGUUUAAAAGAACCACGUUUGUGACUACAUGCCAUACAGAGAAGG